rnacentral:rRNA from 1 species
AGAAUCAACGCUGGCGGCGUGCCUAACACAUGCAAGUCGAACGAGAAAGUGGAGCAAUCCAUGAGUAAAGUGGCGCACGGGUGAGUAACACGUGACUACCUACCCUUGAGUGGGGAUAACCUAGGGAAACCUGGGCUAAUACCGCAUAAUACCUACGGGUCAAAGGAGCAAUUCGCUUAAGGAGGGGUCGCGGCCGAUUAGUUAGUUGGCGGGGUAAUGGCCCACCAAGACGAUGAUCGGUAU